UUAUGUAUAUAUUACUUAAUGAGACUUUUUGAUUUUCGUAUGAAUUUAUAUCUUUAUAUAUUGAAAUUUCUUGAUGAAAAUUUUGACUUUGCCACUGAAUAUAUGAAGGAAUGCAUGAAGAAAAGUACUAUUUUUUUUUUUCAAAAUCCUGAAGACCAAAAGGGAUAACUCAAUGCUAUAUAAAGUCUCGAAACCACAUGUUAUAGAGCAUACCUACUAAUUUUUGCAAUAAUGGAGAAAGCCUUUGCAUUUUUUUUCUCAACACUCUUGUUGCUUAUGGCUAGUUCAGCCAUGACCCAAACCAACAUUACUACUAAUGAAUUAGCACUUCUAUCCUUAAAAUCCCAAAUCAUUUCAGACCUCUUUCACUUCUUGAAUGAAAGCUGGUCUCUUGGCUACUUCUGUUUGUCAUUGGGUUGGAGUCACUUGUGGUUCUCGUCAUCAGCGAGUGAAGUCCUUGAAUCUUUCUAACAUGCCUCUUAUAGGCAAGAUUCCCCGUGAAUUUGGAAACCUCUCAUUUCUUGUUUCUCUCGACUUGCGAAGCAACAAUUUCCAUGGAAAUUUGCCUCAAGAAAUGGCAAGCUUGCGUCGGCUUAAGUUUCUUAGGUUAAGUGUCAACAACUUCAGCGGAAUGUUUCCUUCUUGGUUUGGGUUGUUACACCAACUUCAAUUUCUAAGUCUUAGGAAUAAUAGUUUCACUGGUUCCAUUCCUUCUUCAAUUUCUAAUAUUUCAAAACUUGAGACUUUGAAUCUGAAAUUCAAUUCCAUAGAGGGCCAAAUACCAAAAGUGAUUGGAAGUCUUGUAAACCUUAGAGUAUUAAACUUGAUGGGUAACAAGCUCGUAGGCUUUAUUCCUACGUAACUCUCGAAUGCCUCGAUGUUGGAGACUUUGAAUCUGAAAUUCAAUUCCAUAGAGGGCCAAAAACCAAAAGUGAUUGGAAGUCUUAUAAACCUUAGAGUAUUAAACUUGAUGGGUAACAAGCUCGUAGGCUUUAUUCCUACGUCACUCUCGAAUGCCUCAAGGUUGGAGACUUUGGAGAUAACCUAUAAUUCACUUGAAGGAAAUAUUACAGAAGGGAUCGGCAAUCUUCACAACAUGAAAUGGCAAUAGCUUAUCGGGAUAUCUUCCCAAUGGUUUAUGCAAUGGUCUCCCAAUACUCAAAGGGCUUUAUCUGUCUUAUAACAAGCUUCAUGGUCAGAUGCCUACAGGCUUGACAAAUUGUUCACAACUUCAAAUUUUGUCUUUAUCGGAUAAUGAGUUUGAUGGACCAAUACAUAGUGCAAUUGGAAGUUUAACUAAUCUGCAAGUCUUAGAUCUCCGAACUAACCAUUUCUCUGGUACUUUUCAUCUUAUGAAUACUAGCACUAUUAUAUCUUAUUACUUCAGAAUUUUAUUUUAUUACACAUUAAUUGCAGGGAUAAUUCCACAAGAAAUUGGAAAUCUUGUUAAUUUUGUGCAGUUAGCCAUGGAGGAUAAUCAGAUUACUGGCUCUGUCCCGAUCUUCAUAUUCAAUAUCUCGUCGCUGCAAGUUUUGUGAGCAUCGCAGAACAAUCUUAGUGGAUUCUUACCAUGGGAGAUUGUCAACUUAACCAAGAUGCAACUUCUACAGAUUAAUGAAAAUAAGCUUAUAGCGUAAAAUUGUGAUCAAAUAUAGUAAAUUGAUCCAUAGACAAGCGAAGACAAUAAGACAAUACAUCUCAUGCCGUCACUCUAUCAUCCUCAUACCCAUCGUGCAAACAUUUUAGUACAGUGACGUUAAUAUCAAUUAUUGUGAUAAUUAAUUACCAUAAAAUACUUUUAAUAUUGUAUGAUAUCAUUCGUUUUGAACCAAAUUGACAUUUUUUUCAAGAGACCUUAAAUAUUCAACAUUUUAUAAAUAAUUUCAUUUCUUUUUUA